UAAGUUAACGAUUACUGUAUUUGUAAAGCCGCAGACGGAUUAUUUUCAUUGAUUUCCAAUGACUUCGAAAAUAAAAGUGAUAAUAAUAAUUAUUUGCAAUAUCAAAUUAACCUCGUCAAAUAUGACCGGCAAUUUAAUCAGUGGACUUGCUUCCGAUAUUAUAGACUUUCCACAUUCUGCAUAUUUGGCUAUAGAGUGUGACUCAAGUCGUGGAGCAGGUUACUUUUCGUGUGGCUCCUCUAUAGUCAAUCAAGCUGUUUUGUUGACUGCCGGGCAUUGCGUCAUUGGGUGUCAUGAAAACGUUGACGCUUUUGCUAUAUUCGGACACGAGCAGAGAGAUAAGGGAAUGGUUACAAACGUGUCGGAUAUCAAACUGCAUGAAGAUCAUUUCGAGGGUUUGUUGUCAAACGAUAUAGCUCUAGUGUUGUUGAAGAAAGAUUUGAAAUUUAGUUGUACAGUUCGAAGAGUGGCGUUAAUGAGACAUCCACCAAACGUUGAUGAUGCUACUGUCGCUGGUUGGGGGAAAAUAAAUGAGCUGUCAAACGACGUGUCUGACAUCCUGAUGAGCACAAAACAGAAAAUUCUGUUUCCGUUGACGUGUACUUUUACCAUGAAUAACCCAGCUGGCACUUUCUGUGCCGAUAGUAGGCCUGGAACGGGUAUACCUGCAAGAGCUGAUUCGGGCAACGCCAUGGUAAUCAAUGACUUCAUCCAGAUAGGACUUGUCUCCUACAUGGACCCCCAUAUUUCUAAGAGGAUCACUGUGUACACCAACAUCAGCUUUUUUUACGAUUGGAUAAAAUAUAACGCUAGGAAAUUAUUUUGUAUAGGAAGAAAUAGUAAAUGCAAGUAUGGUAUGGUAUGAUUGUAAGGCUAAACCUCUUAAAAAGUCUCAAUAAGUAGACAGAAAUACUCAACUCAUUAAAUAGCUUGAUUUGAAAUAAAUA